rnacentral:rRNA from 1 species
GACGAACGCUGGCGGCGUGCUUAACACAUGCAAGUGGAGCGACGAACCAGGCUUCGGCCUGGGGCAAAGCCGCGAACGGGUGAGUAACACGUGGGUAACGUGCCUCGAUGACCGGGACAACCCGAGGAAACUCGGGCUAAUACCGGAUGUGCUCCCACCACAUCAGUGGUGUGAGUAAAGGUAGCUUCGGCCUCCGCAUCGAGAUCGGCCCGCGGCGCAUUAGCUUGUUGGNGGGGUAACGGCGUUACCAAGGCAACGAUGCGUAGCUGGUCUGAGAGGACGGACAGCCACACUGGGACUGAGACACGGCCCAGACUCCUACGGGAGGCAGCAGUGAGGAAUUUUCCGCAAUGGGCGAAAGCCUGACGGAGCAACGCCGCGUGAGGGAUGAAGUCUCUAGGGAUGUAAACCUCUGUUGGGAGGGACGAAAAUUUGACGGUACCUCCUGAGGAAG